rnacentral:lncRNA from 1 species
GGCCACAAUUUUGUUUCGAGUGGAGGGCUGCAGCUCGUGCCUGACUUUGAGCUCUUUUGAUAGGUCGUCGGCACAAACUUGAACUCCCUCUAGCUUUUCGAAGGGUUCUUCCCCUUCGCUCUUGGUUCGCGGGUCUAGUGGAAUGAGCUCGAAUUCCCAUUUAUUGGCCAUAUGUACUCUCGGGGGGGUGUGAUUUGAUGGCUGGUGCAAGGUUUCUAUUGACAUCUUUCGGCGAGCUCCCCGUUUCCUUUGACUUCACCCACACCAUGGGGUGUGGGGAACUUGAUUGAAUAGUGAUAUAGGGACACUGUUUCUCUCAGGCUGAAUAGUAGGGGUUGUGCCAUUACAGUAUCAUAAAGCGAUAGAGUGUCGAAUAAUACGAACUCGGAGUUUGUCUUCACCUAUUGGAGUGCUGAUCCUGGCUCGACUUUGAGCUUGAUCGAUCAUUUGGCGAAAUUCAAGGCUCCGCUUAAUCCAAUGACCAUAUUUGAGUACGGUUGGAGAAAGUUAGCAGGGAUAGCCAUCCAUUUAAGGGUGUUGUUGAAGAGGAUGUUUAGAGCACUCCCCGUAUCUACUAAGACUUUGGGGAUGGUUACUGCAGCUACGGGCAACAAGAUAACUAGAACUCCGGGGUAAGGAUGUGGGCCCGCCUCUUUUUCAUCAAAGGAUAAUUACUCAUCUGUGGCUUUCUUGAGGUGCUUCUCUGUUAUGCCAAUCUCAAAAAGAUCCACAAUGAUUUGUCUCUUCAGUCUGGCUUCCCCG